rnacentral:rRNA from 1 species
AUGAGUUUUUUGAGCUGGAACUGCCGGGGGCUUGGGAACCCCGAGGCAGUUCGCGAGCUUCACAAUGUGGUGAAGCAAGAAGGGCCUGAACUAGUUUUUGUUAUGGAGACGAAAAUCAGAGGGAAAAGAGUAGAGGAUUUGCCGCAUACCCUUGGGUUUGCUGGCAAUUUUGAAGUGGAAAGUGAUGGCCUAAGCGGUGGCAUAGGGCUGUUCUGGUCAAACGAUGUGAAGGUGGAACUUAAAUCAUACAGUCACUGUCACAUCGAUGUUUUGGUUCACGAGGAAUCUCAGGGACCGAAUGCUUGGAGGUUCACGGGUUUCUACGGUGCGCCAAGAGCAGUAGACCAUCAUCACAUCUAG